UAUUAUCCAAAGGCGAAACCAUUGAUGACAUAUACCAGGCGUAAAAGAAAGGGUAUCAAGGUCAUUUCGAAUGAGAAAGGGCAAACUGGAGAUAACUCAAAGGAGGAAGGGCAGAAGAGUAAUUGAGGAAGAAAAGGGAUAAGAGGGCAAGAGAAGAGGAGUCUAGGGUUAUCGAUUGUUUUGUGUUGUUUGUUUUCAUUUCGUAUCUGGAUAGCACUGGUCUCUCGAAAACCAGUAGAUUAUUUUUAUUUUCCGCUGUAAUUCGUAUUGGACUGGAGAUCUGUGCUAGUGAAGUAAUAUUGUUACUCUGUUCUUGUUAUUUUCUGGUUUAAUCUAUCUUAAGUGGUAUCAGAGCGGUACGAUUCUAUGGCGCCGCCAACACUCACAGUAGCUCAGAGGGUCGAAGAGUUGGAGGAGUCGGUGGCUGGUUUGGAGGUGAAGUUAUCCUCCAUGGUUUCGAAGGCGGUGGAGGCGGCUGUUGGUUCAAUGAAGCAUACACUAGUCGAUCUGAUGUUACAGAGCCAAACCGAGCUCAGCCACAAGCAUUCGGGGGACAUGGAGGCCUUGGUGACACGUCUGGAGGGUCGCAUCAACAGAACUCGGGAACACCAUGAAUCCCUCAUGUUCACCAUCAAAAAUGACCAAGAUCUGUUUCAAAAUGAGCUGAAAUCGGCGUUGUCGUCACUAUACCCACAAGGCAUUCCACAGCAGAGCAAAGGGGAUGCUAGUGUUAACUCGGACGCUGGGGGAAGGGGCGCUCCCCAGUCUACUUUCAUAGGUAGUUCGGUUGGGGUAUUGUUUGGCAGCCCACAUGGGGAAAAGGGGAACAUGGCAGGUACUGGAUCGGGGGGUGGACCGGGUCAUUGGCGGUAUCGGAAGUUGGAUAUGCCGUUGUUUGAUGGUACUGACCCGGAUGGGUGGUUGCUCCGCGUCGAGCGUUACUUUGGGUUUUAUAAGCUCUCAGAGGAGGAGAGAUUGGAGGCGGUGGUUGUGGCGCUUGAAGGGGAUGCAUUGAGGUGGUUUCAAUGGGAGAACAAACGCCAUCCCAUAAGGCGUUGGAAUGAUUUGCGGGAUUUUAUCCUCCGCCAAUUUCGGAGUUCUAACGGUGGUUCCCUCUAUGAACAAUGGUUAGCCACUAACCAAACCUCCUCUGUCGCAGAGUACAGGCGCUCUUUUAUCGAGACAGCGGCUCCUUUGGACCGGAUUCCUGAAAAUAUUUUGUUGGGUCAAUUCCUUAACGGGUUGCGUGAGGAUAUCAAAGUGGAAGUGCGGUUGUUGAAUCCUAUCAACUUGGAGCAAGCAAUGGAGUUAGCCAUGCGGGUGGAAGAGCGAUCAUGCAAGGAGUUAGCCGAGAAUUCUAAAGAUGGUAUUUACAAGUUUUUGUUUAAAAAAUGGGAACUGCAUAGCGAUAACUUGAUAUUUGAUAGAAAAGUGGCCAUACCUGAUUUAAUGGUGCAUCACAUACAAGUGUUUGGCUUACCUUAUUUUAUUCAGAAAUAAGCCUUUAUCUCUAGAAAANGAGCGUAACCAGGUUUUGGGGGUGGGAAUGUUUAAGGCUGGUACUUAUUCCAUGUCUUUUAAGAGUGCAAACCAGUCCGCUAAUUCUGGGUUUCAGUCUGGAGCCGCAUCUGUGCGUAGCUGGGCUUCUAAUGCUGGCGAAUCACAGGCUUCUGUGAGCUCUCCGAAAUCUACAUUGACUGCCACCAAACCAGCAGGGGAGUUGAAGCGCCUAACUGACAGAGAACUGCAAGACAAGCGUGCGAAGGGGCUUUGUUUCAGGUGUGACGACAAGUGGUCUGUCGGUCACCGAUGCAAAAAGAAAGAGCUAAGUCUGUUGUUGAUUGAUGAUGAGGAUGACAGUAGCACUGAUUGUGGUCACUCUGAACCGCCACUGUCGCCUACUGAGGAGGCAUUAAAAGAGAUUAGUCUUCAACCUGAAGUCUCUCUCAAUUCGGUGAUUGGCCUGUCUAGUCCUAAAACUAUGAAGCUGCGAGGAUUAGUCCAGGGUAAAGAGGUAGUAAUUAUGAUUGAUCCGGGGGCUAGUCAUAAUUUCAUAUCAUUGGCUACUGUGAAUGCGUUGAAUAUUCCGGUGGAGGAAUCAGGGGUGUUCGGGGUUUCCCUGGGGAAUGGAGAAGCAAUUAAAGGCAGUGUCCUCUGCAAGGAUGUGGUCGUCCAGUUGGAUGGGGCAGAGGAGAUUCGUGAAAGUUUUUUACCACUCGAACUGGGCAGUUCAGACAUGAUUUUAGGAGUGCAAUGGUUGGAAACACUGGGUACAGUCCUCACUAAUUGGAAAACACAAGUUAUGCAAUAUGAAGUGGAGGGGCGCACAGUUAUUUUGGUUGGAGAUCCUUCGCUGGUACAUGCUCGAAUUUCUUUAAAGGCAAUGCUUAAAACGUUACGCAAGACAGGAGGGGGGUUUCGAGUGGAGCUCAACAGUGUGGAAGCUGGGGUACACCAGUUACAAAAGGAGGUUGUAGACCAAUCUGUCCCUGCGUUUCUGCGUGAAGUGGUUGAUAAAAAUCAGGCUGUCUUUAAGGAGAACAUCGGCCUCCCACCUCUGCGAGGGCAUGAACACCACAUUGUGCUUAAGGAGGGUGCCAAUCCAGUGGGAGUUCGCCCUUAUAGGUAUCCCAGCACCAUAAGGACGAAAUUGAGCGUUUGAUCAAAGAAAUGCUUUCGACUGGUAUCAUUAAGCCGUCUACAAGCCCAUUUUCAAGUCCGGUGCUCUUGGUUAAGAAGAAGGACGGGUCAUGGAGAUUUUGUGUCGAUUACCGGGCUUUAAACAAGGAAACCAUUCCGGACAAGUAUCCUAUUCCCAUCAUUGACGAGUUACUUGAUGAACUCCAUGGGGCGUCAGUGUUUUCUAAGCUUGACCUUAAAGCGGGAUACCAUCAGAUUCGGGUAAGGGCCGAAGACACCCAUAAAUCCGCUUUUCGCACACAUGAUGGCCAUUACGAGUUUUUGGUAAUGCCGUUUGGCCUCAUGAAUGCGCCGUCCACAUUUCAGUCCUUAAUGAAUGAUGUUUUUCGCCCUUUUCUGCGAAAAUUCAUUCUUGUGUUUUUUGACGAUAUUUUGGUGUAUAGCAAAACGCAGGCAGAACAUUGUGAGCAUCUUCAACUGGUUUUGGACACACUGAGCAGGCAGUCCUUGGUGGUAAAUAAGGGCAAGUGUGCUUUUGGGAGGGCGGAAGUGGCUUAUUUAGGUCAUGUGGUGUCGGGUAAAGGCGUAGCAGUAGAUGCGGAGAAAGUACAGGCAAUUGUGGGGUGGCAGCAACCGAAAAACCUCAAGGAAUUGCGUGGUUUUCUCGGCCUUACUGGGUACUAUCGGAAAUAUGUUCGUCACUAUGCCCAGAUUGCUCGAGCCCUGACGGAACAGCUUAAAAAAGAUGCUUUUGGCUGGUCACCAGAAGCUACGGUGGCAUUCGAAAGCCUCAAGCAGGCCAUGAUUCACCCACCUGUGUUAGCACUCCCAGAUUUUUCGAAACCAUUUGUGCUUGAGACGGAUGCGUCCGGGUUUGGUGUUGGGGCAGUCCUGAUACAAGAGGAUCACCCGAUCGCAUUCUAUAGUAAGUUGCUGGGGCCUCGAGCACAAGCGAAAGCUAUAUAUGAGAAGGAACUCAUGGCUAUUUGUUUUGCGGUUCAAAAGUGGCGCUAUUACUUAUUGGGGCGCCAUUUUGUCAUUAGAACGGAUCAACAGAGUCUUCGUUUCUUGACUCAGCAAAAGGAGAUAGGCCCAGAAUACCAGAAGUGGGUAACAAAGCUGAUGGGGUUCUCGUUUGACAUUCGCUUUAAGCCAGGGGCUUCGAACCGGGUGGCUGAUGCAUUAUCGCGCAAAAGCUGUGAGAAUAUCGAACUGGGGAGUUUGGUAUCGAUGCCUGGAAUUGAUUGGUCAGUGUUGGAUAAGGAGGUAGCUGCUGAUGUAUUGUUGCAACAGAUAAAGGGUGAUAUUGUGGCUGGGAAAAAGGAAUACGCGGGGUUUAUGGUUACAGAGGGACAGCUCCUGUAUAAGAGCAGAUUGGUACUGCCACGGAAAUCUUCCUUCAUUCCCUUAUUACUCCAUCAAUACCACGAUUCCCUCACUGGUGGACAUUCUGGAGACACGAAAACAUAUUUAAAAUUGGCAGCACAUUGGUUUUGGAUGGGUAUGAGGAAGGAUGUUUCGAUCUAUGUUCAACAGUGUGAUGUGUGUCAACGUAAUAAGGUGAGUCAGCAAUCUCCAUCAGGGUUGUUGCAACCUCUCCCCAUCCCUACUUCUGUUUGGUCCGAUGUUUCCAUGGACUUUGUUGAGGGGUUACCCAUGUCGUAUGGGGUCAAUUCGAUUCUGGUCGUGGUGGAUAGGUUUUCGAAGUAUGCUCAUUUCAUACCCCUCAAACACCCAUAUACUGCUAUGACAGUGGCUACGGUGUUCAUCAGGGAAGUAGUUAGGCUUCAUGGGUUCCCAACCUCCAUUGUCUCGGACCGCGAUCGUAUUUUUUUAAGCUGUUUUUGGAAGGAAUUGUUUCGAGCCCAGGGAACUCAGCUGAAACGUAGCACUUCUUAUCAUCCCCAGACGGAUGGCCAAACAGAAAUUGUGAAUCGAGUUUUGGAAACGUAUCUGCGAUGUUUUACAGGGGAUAAGCCCAAAUCUUGGUCAAAAUGGUUGUCUUGGGCUGAGUAUUCUUAUAACACAUCUCCACAUAUGUCUGCUAAAUUCACUCCUUUUAAAAUUGUGUAUGGACGUGAUCCGCCAGUGCUGCUCAGGUUGGGCAAAGGGCAGUCUCCAGUUGAUAGUGUUGAGGAGAUGUUGCAAGCUCGUGAUUUCAUGUUGGAUGAGCUCCGGUUAAACCUCCUGAAGGCUCAACAACGAAUGAAAUCACAGGCAGACAAGAACAGGAAGGAAGAACAAUUUAUGAUUGGAGAGAGUGUCUUUCUGAAAUUACAGCCAUACAGGCAACGUUCGUUAGCUAGACGCCCGUUUGAAAAACUGGCGGCUCGUUUCUACGGUCCCUUUGAAAUAAUCGAGCAGUUCGGAUCAGUGGCUUAUAAGUUGGAUUUACCAGCAUCGUGUAAGAUUCAUCCCGUGUUUCAUGUCUCUCAACUGAAACGAGCCAUGAAUCCUAUUCCCAAGCCUGUAGAACUUCCUUCACAGCUUAGUGAGGAUUUAGAGCUGUUGGUUGAACCUGAAGAGGUGCUGGACUGCCGGAAAUUGGUUAAGGGCCAUGAGGAACAGUUGGAGGUUUUGGUGAAAUGGCAAGGGCUGCCAUUGUUUGAAGCUACUUGGGAGGAAGUAGAAUCGAUUCAAGCUCGUUUUCCUCAUUUCCACCUUGAGGACAAGGUGAAUCUUUGGGGGGAGGGUAAUGUAAUAUAUUAUCCAAAGGCGAAACCAUUGAUGACAUAUACCAGGCGUAAAAGAAAGGGUAUCAAGGUCAUUUCGAAUGAGAAAGGGCAAACUGGAGAUAACUCAAAGGAGGAAGGGCAGAAGAGUAAUUGAGGAAGAAAAGGGAUAAGAGGGCAAGAGAAGAGGAGUCUAGGGUUAUCGAUUGUUUUGUGUUGUUUGUUUUCAUUUCGUAUCUGGAUAGCACUGGUCUCUCGAAAACCAGUAGAUUAUUUUUAUUUUCCGCUGUAAUUCGUAUUG
rnacentral:lncRNA from 1 species